GGGGCGGUAGUUCAGUUGGGAGAACGCCUCGUUCGCAACGAGGAGGUCAGCGGUUCGAAUCCGCUUCGCUCCACCA
rnacentral:tRNA from 1 species